CAUGGGCAAAUCAGCUGAUCUCUGUGGGCCCUAAUCUUCUCCACUUGUAGAAUUAGAUUUCUAGAUGAGAUGAUCUCGAGUGUCCUUCCAGUUGAAAGUCUUCCAGCCCAUGAUUCCGACUAUCUAAAACCCUCCCGACAGAGUAUCUCCCAGAUUCCCUCAUCAUUCAUGCUCACUCACUCCCACAGAACUACUUUGUGCAUCUUUUUACUUUAUUUACAGCCACAGGAAGGCAGGGAUGAAGGGCAAAUAUCCAGUGAAGGAGCCCAGGAUGGACCUUGACCUGGGUCCCCCAUUCCAAUUAGUCUGCUGUCGUCCCAGAAUGAAUCCCCCUUAAUGCUAUUAUGGUUGUGGUUGUUGCUCAUCUUUCAUUUUUUUUCUUUUUUUCUCCCUUGAACCCUUACCUUCUUUCUUAGCUCCAGGGCACAGAAGAGCAGUAAGAGAUAGGCAAUGGGGUUAAGUGACUUGCCCAGGGUCACUUAGAUAAAAAGUGUCUGAAGUCAGAUUUAAACUCAAGAGAGAUGAGACUUCCUAAAAUCCAUGCCUGGCAUUUUUAACCACUGAGCCACCCAGCUGCCCCUCAUCUUUCAUUUUCAAAGAUGACCAAUGGUGUCAAAAUACUGGGGUCAAGGUACGACGUGUUCCACUCUGGGGAUGGUCAGACCAACACAUAUGUGACAGAUCAUCCAUAGCUGAACUCUUUCCCCCUUUCAAAUGGCCUUGAACCACAGUGGAUCGGGGAGAGGCUGUGUGUACAUGGCGUGUGCGUGUUGUCGUCUCCCUCCCCUGUACAUGUGUGAGCACACACAUACACCUUGGAAUAGUAGCUCCUCCUAGACCCGGCUGGUUUUGUUUUCUCUUUUGUUUUUAUCUUUGUAUCUGCAGAAACUCAAGAGACACUUGGCAAAUUGAAUAAAGAAGAUGGCGGAGAUCACUGAGCCAGAGAAGCUCCAGAAGACCUCAGGCUGCUCUCCCCUCAAAUAUAUGUUUAUAUAUAAAUAUAUAGAUGGGAAAACUGAGGCCAAACUGGAUCGACUUGCUCAGAGGCUCCCAGCCCAUCUACGUGAGAGGCAGGAUUUGGUCGGAGGUCUCCCUUACUUCAAGCCCUGCACUCCAUCCACUCUGAAUUACUGUCUUUAGGGGCUGAGCGAGAGCUUGCAGAUCCUCUCAGCACCCCUUUCAGGUUUUUAGGACAUCACUCUCUCCUUCUUCUCUGACACCCAGCUGCCCCAGUCUUUUUGAAAAAUAAUCACUGGGAUAGAAUACUAUUGUGAUAAAAGGAAUGAUGAAUUGGAGGAAUUCCAUGUGAACUGGAACAACCUCCAGGAACUGAUGCAGAGUGAAAGGAGCAGAACCAGGAGAACAUUGUACACAGAGACGGAUACACUGUGGUACAAUUGAAUGUAAUGAACUUCUCUACUAGCAACAAUACAAUGACCCAGGACAAUUCUGAGGGACUUAUGAUAAAGAUGCUGUCCACAUCCAGAGAAAUAACUGUGGGCGAGGAAACACAGAAGAAAAACAUAUGAUUGAUCAUGUGGUUCGAUGGGGAUAUGAUUGGGGAUGUUGACUCUAAGUGAUCACCCUGGUGCAAAUAUCAAUAAUAUAGAAAUAGAUCUUAAUCAAUGAAUGACACAUGUAAAACCCAGUAGAAUUGCUCAUUGGCUAAGGGAGGGGGGUUGGAGGGGGGGGGAAGAACAUGAAUCAUGUAACCAUGG
ensembl:lncRNA